rnacentral:tRNA from 1 species
CAAGAGGUAGUUUAAUUUAAAAUAUUAAUUUUGGAGAUUAAAGAUAAGAAUUAGUUUUUUUUCUUGA